rnacentral:rRNA from 1 species
AGUGAACGCUGGCGGUAGGCCUAACACAUGCAAGUCGAACGGCAGCACAGUAAGAGCUUGCUCUUACGGGUGGCGAGUGGCGGACGGGUGAGGAAUACAUCGGAAUCUACUUUUUCGUGGGGGAUAACGUAGGGAAACUUACGCUAAUACCGCAUACGACCUACGGGUGAAAGCAGGGGAUCUUCGGACCUUGCGCGAUUGAAUGAGCCGAUGUCGGAUUAGCUAGUUGGCGGGGUAAAGGCCCACCAAGGCGACGAUCCGUAGCUGGUCUGAGAGGAUGAUCAGCCACACUGGAACUGAGACACGGUCCAGACUCCUACGGGAGGCAGCAGUGGGGAAUAUCGGACAAUGGGCGCAAGCCUGAUCCAGCCAUACCGCGUGGGUGAAGAAGGCCUUCGGGUUGUAAAGCCCUUUUGUUGGGAAAGAAAAGCAGCAGGUUGAUACCCCGCUGUUCUGACGGUACCCAAAGAAUAAGCACCGGCUAACUUCGUG